GUCUCUAACCUGAAACAGUCUCAAGAAAUCAUUCAUUUGGACAGAAAUAAUAGCUAGGAAUCAGAAGAUCCUCAGGUAUUUGUCCACAAGAAAGGAAAGCAUAUGGCCAUACAAACACUAAUGCACAAGGGAUCACAGCAACUCUACUUGUAAUUACUCCAACUGUCAGCUAUCUAAAUAUCCAUCAGAAGAGAGAGUUAUAAAUCCAACAAUGGUCUACCCAUGGAGUGGAAGGCUACUCAACUACAAGGUACCUUCUAGGCUGGAAGAGAACCCCUGAGCAUCGGCUGAGUACACUUAUUCAAGUUGCAAGUCGAUCACCCACCAGCAGACAUUGACAACUGCCUGCAAGAGCAUCUUACCUGAUACUGUGGUUAUCUUUCUGGAAACCUGAUUUAGAGUACUGUUCUGUCAUAGACUUAGGUGAUGAGGAUCAUGUCGCCCAAUAUUUCGGAGUCUCAUGUCUUCUACUGGUAAACUGAGUAUGUUGAAGUCUCCUGGAGGACAGUACACGUGCUAGGCACUGACGACUGGGAUGCUGAUUCCUCUCUUGCUCUACUUGGAGAAGAAUAGCUCCAGUGGAAGAGCUCUCCAGGCCUUACUUCUCUGGUUGAUGAGUUUGAGAGGAGUGGAUGCUAUGCUAAUCUUACACCUACUCUUAUCUUUCUUGCCUACAGAAGCGGCUGCUUUCAGUGUUUGAUCUCGGGGUACAUGGGUGAGUGUGGUUUGAAUGAGAAUCACUCCAUAGGUCCAUAUGUUUGAAUACUCAGUCCCCAGGGGGUGGCACUGAUUGGAAAGGAUUGAAUGGCCUUGCUGGAG